rnacentral:rRNA from 1 species
UACGAAGGGGGCUAGCGUUGUUCGGAAUUACUGGGCGUAAAGCGCAUGUAGGCGGGCCGUUAAGUCGGGGGUGAAAGCCCAGAGCUCAACUCUGGAACUGCCUUCGAUACUGGCGGCCUGGAGCAUGAUAGAGGCGAGUGGAAUUGUGAGUGUAGAGGUGAAAUUCGUAGAUAUUCGCAGGAACACCAGUGGCGAAGGCGACUCGCUGGAUCAUUGCUGACGCUGAGAAGCGAAAGCGUGGGGAGCAAACAGG